UCCACCUUUGCUGCGCUGGGUGCUGGGGUCACUCAGUGCCAGGGUGACAGCCUCCCUGAGUGCAAGGGUUUGCAGUCAGCUCACUGCUCAUCACAGAAGACUGCAGUGUUUUUUUAAGGAGAAAGGAAACGAAGUCCCCCAUGAUCGUCCACAUUUUGGCCCUGCUGAAAAGGUCUUGGAAAACAAGCUGGAACCUGUCAGAACCCAAGCAAGGGCACAGUCAGCCUCCUGCUGAGCUUCCAGCCCUGUUCCCAGGCUCUGCAGCUCCCCAUGGCCUCCAGAAGACACUCAAAAAAUGUCACCCUGCCUUGGGGCCAGAGUCACAAAUGAGUGUCUGGGAGAGUCCUGGCCCAGUACAGGCCCUGGAAGAAUAGUCACCCAACAGGCAAAUGAAUGAAUGAAAACUCCAAAGGUCUCAAUUCCUGAAAUUGUGCCGUGUAUGCUGGGGCACUGAAAUGUUAAGGAGCCUUGGCAGUCAUAUCUGUACAAUGGGCAAAAUAAAACAAGAACACCACCAGGUGCCUGCCUCAUAGGGUCACUGAAUAUUCAAACAAGGGGGUGAAGGUGCGAACACCUCAUGACCACACUAUGCUGAGGAACUCAUGUGCACAGCACCCACAUCUGGACCUGUGGGCAUCUUUCCUUCUCUGGCUGCUGUGGUUCCCGACGGCUUCAGCCCAUGCUGUGACC
rnacentral:lncRNA from 1 species